rnacentral:lncRNA from 1 species
UAGGAUGUUAGCAAUGUACAGAAAUCUAUGUAUUUGUCAGAGCCGUGGGUACACUCACAGGUUGUUCCACUUCAUAGGUUUUGACUGCCUUUGUUAAAUCAGCUCUGACAUGGCACAGCUGUGGGGUCUUGGUCACAGCUGAAGAACCUUGUCAGGAGGUCUCACUUGGUAUCUAACUAUUUUCAGGCCCUUGCCUUGCAUUCUUACUGCAUCUAGCUCUUGCACUUUGUUGAUCUUGAUCCUGACCCACUGGUGUCCUGACUGAGGGCUUCACCCUGGGCCUGGUGAUCUUUGAGCUGAGGUUGUUCUCCUCAUCAGCCUUGCCCAGCUCUCUUCAUUGGGCACAGCUGGAUGGUGUUCCAUCAAUAUGAGUCUGCCAUGUAUGCCUGGACAUCACAAACAUCCACUGGUUUGACUCUCUUUGUGGAGCAGCCCCCUCACUCUGCUCUCUGGUAAUGCAACUGUCAAGGGUCAGCCAGUAAGAGAAGGGAGGCUGAAAAACGCUCUGCAACUAUGAGACUGAGACCUGAGACAACUGGUGCAUUGAGGUCACUUCAUGGGUAUUUCUGUACAGGAAGGUACAAAAAUCUCUCUGAUCUGCACAUGAAGGAGGAGAGGCAAAAAUAACAGAAGGC